UACGUAGGGGGCGAGCGUUGUCCGGAUUUAUUGGGCGUAAAGAGCGUGUAGGCGGCCAGGUAGGUCUGCUGUGAAAACUCGAGGCUCAACCUCGAGACGUCGGCGGAAACUAUCUGGCUAGAGUCCGGAAGAGGAGAGUAGAAUUCCUGGUGUAGCGGUGAAAUGCGCAGAUAUCAGGAAGAACACCCGUGGCGAAGGCGGCUCUCUGGGACGGUACUGACGCUGAGACGCGAAAGCGUGGGGAGCGAACAGG
rnacentral:rRNA from 1 species